rnacentral:rRNA from 1 species
CCUACGGGAGGCAGCAGUAGGGAAUCUUCCACAAUGGGCGAAAGCCUGAUGGAGCAACGCCGCGUGGGUGAAGAAGGUCUUCGGAUCGUAAAACCCUGUUGUUAGAGAAGAAAGUGCGUGAGAGUAACUGUUCACGUUUCGACGGUAUCUAACCAGAAAGCCACGGCUAACUACGUGCCAGCAGCCGCGGGAAUACGUAGGUGGCAAGCGUUAUCCGGAUUUAUUGGGCGUAAAGGGAACGCAGGCGGUCUUUUAAGUCUGAUGUUAAAGCCGUCGGCUUAACCGGAGUAGUGCAUUGGAGACUGGGAGACUUGAGUGCAGGAGAGGAGAGUGGAACUCCAGGUGUAGCGGUGAAAUGCGUAGAUAUAUGGAAGAACACCAGUGGCGAAGGCGGCUCUCUGGUCUGUAACUGACGCUGAGGUUCGAAAGCGUGGGUAGCAAACAGGAUUAGAUACCCGUGUAGUC